AGAGUUUGAUCCUGGCUCAGGACGAACGCUGGCGGCACGCUUAACACAUGCAAGUCGAACGAGAGAAGAGGAGCUUGCUUUUCUGAUCUAGUGGCGGACGGGUGAGUAACACGUGAGCAAUCUGCCUUUCAGAGGGGGAUACCGAUUGGAAACGAUCGUUAAUACCGCAUAACAUAAUUGAACCGCAUGAUUUGAUUAUCAAAGAUUUAUCGCUGAAAGAUGAGCUCGCGUCUGAUUAGCUAGUUGGUAAGGUAACGGCUUACCAAGGCGACGAUCAGUAGCCGGACUGAGAGGUUGAUCGGCCACAUUGGGACUGAGACACGGCCCAGACUCCUACGGGAGGCAGCAGUGGGGAAUAUUGCACAAUGGAGGAAACUCUGAUGCAGCGAUGCCGCGUGAGGGAAGAAGGUUUUAGGAUUGUAAACCUCUGUCUUCAGGGACGAAAAAAGACGGUACCUGAGGAGGAAGCUCCGGCUAACUACGUGCCAGCAGCCGCGGUAAUACGUAGGGAGCGAGCGUUGUCCGGAAUUACUGGGUGUAAAGGGAGCGUAGGCGGGAUCGCAAGUCAGAUGUGAAAACUAUGGGCUUAACCCAUAAACUGCAUUUGAAACUGUGGUUCUUGAGUGAAGUAGAGGUAAGCGGAAUUCCUAGUGUAGCGGUGAAAUGCGUAGAUAUUAGGAGGAACAUCAGUGGCGAAGGCGGCUUACUGGGCUUUAACUGACGCUGAGGCUCGAAAGCGUGGGGAGCAAACAGGAUUAGAUACCCUGGUAGUCCACGCCGUAAACGAUGAUUACUAGGUGUGGGGGGACUGACCCCUUCCGUGCCGCAGCAAACGCAAUAAGUAAUCCACCUGGGGAGUACGACCGCAAGGUUGAGACUCAAAGGAAUUGACGGGGGCCCGCACAAGCAGUGGAGUAUGUGGAUUAAUUCGAAGCAACGCGAAGAACCUUACCAGGUCUUGACAUCGUAUGCAUAGCUCAGAGAUGAGUGAAAUCUCUUCGGAGACAUAUAGACAGGUGGUGCAUGGUUGUCGUCAGCUCGUGUCGUGAGAUGUUGGGUUAAGUCCCGCAACGAGCGCAACCCUUACUGUUAGUUGCUACGCAAGAGCACUCUAGCAGGACUGCCGUUGACAAAACGGAGGAAGGUGGGGAUGACGUCAAAUCAUCAUGCCCCUUAUGACCUGGGCCUCACACGUACUACAAUGGCUGUCAACAGAGGGAAGCAAAGCCGCGAGGUGGAGCGAACCCCUAAAAGAAGUCUUAGUUCGGAUUGUAGGCUGCAACCCGCCUACAUGAAGUCGGAAUUGCUAGUAAUCGCAGAUCAGCAUGCUGCGGUGAAUACGUUCCCGGGCCUUGUACACACCGCCCGUCACGCCAUGGGAGUCGGUAACACCCGAAGCCAGUGACCCAACCGUAAGGAGGGAGCUGCCGAAGGUGGGACCGAUAACUGGGGUGAAGUCGUAACAAGGUA
rnacentral:rRNA from 1 species